CUACACUCACCUUCCGGCCUUCUGAGUGUCCCGGGAGGCUCAGCUAGGCCUGGGUUGGGCGCCGUCACUUCCUGCAGUCUUCACCACCCCAUUUCACGGAGGAGAAGGCUGAGGCCUGAGAAAGGAGCCCUCUUCUUCAGAAACAAAACAACAAGCUCUUCCCUGUCUCAUGGAAACAACUCCAGGUGCUGACAUCAGACACCUGCAAACUGGACUCUCACUUCCAUCCCCAGCAACGGCCACCAAAUUCUUCACACAAGACACUUCUCUCCCUCAGAGGAAUUCUGGUGCCAGCAGUUAAACUAAUAAACUUUUUUCCACCUCAUGAGAGAAUAUUUCCAGGUCUGUUCCUGGCCACCCCCAAUCCAGAUAUAAUUACACCAAGGUCCUUCCUUCGAGGAGGUCUGUGCUGUGGACCUGUGGCUCCGAGGGUGCCACGGGGAAGGCCAGGUGGGCACAGAGCACCACUGGAGGACACCGAGCCACAGAGGUGAGGCUGGAGCAGGAGGCCCAAACGCAGGGGAAGGGAGGGCUAUAGGGAGAGGUGGGGUCUGCGGCAAACCAGAGAGCCUGUGUGCCACCUAAUGCUGCCCUGUGGGGGCGUGGGCCCAGCACCGAGUCUCCCCAUUCUUCCGGGGGGGUUGGAAAUCUACACUUGUGUGUGAAAUCUCUGACUCAAGUGCUGGCAACUAAAUCCAAAAAAUGUUAUGGAACUAUCAACAGCACAAAUAAAACACAGUAAUGGGCUGGAUGGAGUCCA
rnacentral:lncRNA from 1 species